rnacentral:rRNA from 1 species
GACGGGACCCGCACAAGCGGUGGAUGAUGUGGUUUAAUUCGAUGCAACGCGAAAACCUUAACCCACCUUUGACAUGGCAGGAAUCCUGAAGAGAUUUGGGAGUGCUCGAAAGAGAACCUGCACACAGGUGCUGCAUGGCUGUCGUCAGCUCGUGUCGUGAGAUGUUGGGUUAAGUCCCGCAACGAGCGCAACCCUUGCCAUUAGUUGCUACGAAAGGGCACUCUAAUGGGACUGCCGGUGACAAACCGGAGGAAGGUGGGGAUGACGUCAAGUCCUCAUGGCCCUUAUAGGUGGGGCUACACACGUCAUACAAUGGCCGGUACAGAGGGUAGCCAACCCGCGAGGGGGAGCCAAUCCCACAAAGCCGGUCGUAGUCCGGAUCGCAGUCUGCAACUCGACUGCGUGAAGUCGGAAUCGCUAGUGAUCGCGGAUCAGCAUGUCGCGGUGAAUACGUUCCCGGGCCUU